UACGGGGGGAGCAAGCGUUGUUCGGAUUUACUGGGCGUAAAGGGCGCGUAGGCGGCCACCGCAAGUCGACUGUGAAAUCACCGGGCUUAACCCGGAAAGGUCAGCCGAUACUGCGGGGCUAGAGUGCAGAAGGGGCAACUGGAAUUCUCGGUGUAGCGGUGAAAUGCGUAGAUAUCGAGAGGAACACCUGCGGCGAAGGCGGGUUGCUGGGCUGACACUGACGCUGAGGCGCGAAAGCUAGGGGAGCGAACGGG
rnacentral:rRNA from 1 species